GUAUUCACUUUCAAAACACAUGUACUAAAAUUGGAAUAAUAUAGAGAAGAUUAGCCUGGCUCCU
ensembl:snRNA U6 U6 spliceosomal RNA